rnacentral:rRNA from 1 species
AGUGAACGCUGGCGGUAGGCCUAACACAUGCAAGUCGAACGGCAGCACAGUAAGAGCUUGCUCUUACGGGUGGCGAGUGGCGGACGGGUGAGGAAUACAUCGGAAUCUACUUUUUCGUGGGGGAUAACGAAGGGAAACUUACGCUAAUACCGCAUACGACCUACGGGUGAAAGCAGGGGAUCUUCGGACCUUGCGCGAUUGAAUGAGCCGAUGUCGGAUUAGCUAGUUGGCGGGGUAAAGGCCCACGCAGGCGACGAUCCGUAGCCGGUCUGGGAGGAGGAUCACCGACAUUGGAGGGGAGCCACGGUCCAGACUCCUGAGGGAGGCCGCAGUGGGGAAUAUGAGACAGCGGGGGCAAGCAUGACACAGCCAUACCGAGUGGGAUGAGGAGGCCUUCGGGUUGUAAAGACGUUUUGUUGGGAAAGAAAAGCAGCAGGUUAAUACCCCGCUGUUCUGACGGUACCCAAAGAAUAAGCACCGGCUAACUUCGUG